GCAGAUCCAUGAGAAAGUGCUCUUCUGGAAUGCUAAGGUUCUCGUGUCUCGCAUCUGGCACUUCCGAGGUGGGACUGAUGAGGGUAACAUUGUGCACACUGACUUAGUGGUGCUUGACCAAGAGGGCACCCACAUGUAUGGCCAGAUUCCUCCUGAGCCAUCGGAGCGGCUGAAAGAUGUCUUGGUGGAAGGCAAUGUUUAUCUGAUGAAGGGAUUCAUGUGUAAACAAGCAAAGCAGACUUACAGGGCUGUUGAUAGCCCAUACAUGAUGCAAUUCACUCGCUUUAGUACUGCUAUUCCCCAGCCGGGUGAUGAAGAAAACUUCCCGUAC
rnacentral:rRNA from 1 species